AACGAACGCUGGCGGCAGGCCUAACACAUGCAAGUCGAACGAUGUAGCAAUACAUAGUGGCGCACGGGUGAGUAACGCGUGGGAAUGUACCAUUUGGUGGGGAAUAACUCCGGGAAACUGGAGCUAAUACCGCAUACGCCCUUCGGGGGAAAGAUUUAUCGCCAAAUGAUCAGCCCGCGUGAGAUUAGAUAGUUGGUGGGGUAAUGGCCUACAAAGUGUACGAUCUCUAGCUGGUCUCAGAGGAUGAUCAGCCACACUGGAACUGAGACACGGUCCAGACUCCUACGGGAGGCAGCAGUGGGGAAUAUUGGGCAAUGGGCGCAAGCCUGACCCAGCCAUGCCGCGUGAGUGAUGAAGGCUCUAGGGUUGUAAAGCUCUUUCGCCGAUGAAGAUAAUGACGGUAGUCGGAGAAGAAGCCCCGGCUAACUUCGUGCCAGCCGCCGCGGUAA
rnacentral:rRNA from 1 species